CUAAGUUCAGCGGGUAGCCCUACCUGAUUUGAGGUCAGAUCGAAAGAAUAUGAGGGUUGUGAGCGGACGUCAUCGACCACGAGAAAGGCGAAACUUAUUACGCCAGACAUUGGGUACGAAUAUUCCCACUAAGACCUUUAAGGCGAGCCGGCAACAAAGCGGCAGCGCCCAAAUCCAACACGAUCGGGUCGUAAAACCCG
rnacentral:misc_RNA from 1 species